GGGAGCGCGGGUGGGUGUCCAGAGCAGCCCAGCGCCCGCAGGCUGGGCGCGGAGCCAAGUAAGGCUCCCCCGUCGGCCGCUAUGCCGGGACAAGGCGGCGCUCGCAUCCCAGAGGAGCCCGGCCUCGGCCAGAACACUCGUGUACGCUGUGUUCGCACGGCCACACUGCCCACAUCGUUGUCUGGUACUGCCAUGCUGUCAAGGUCUGUGUGUUGACAGGCACUGUCCUGGCUUCCUUCCACAAUCACACUGAUCCACAAGAGCAUGAUAUCGGGGGACACUGUCAUCGUACCUGGAACGCUGGAAGAACCCACACUGGGGCCAAGAAAAAAAAAAGAAGCGGUUAGGUUUAAGUUGCCGUGAAAGUACUACAACUAAAUUCUUCUUUUGCACAGACUUACAGAGCACCAUCACAACUGUAGUCGCCUGAACUAACUACACAUAUGCAGUAUUAGAGCAUGAGUCUUGCUUAAUACGUCUGGUGCAAAACAGAUAUAACUUGAAAGUUUUGUAGUAUGCCCUGACACAAGUCUCCCUAGAUAGAAUAGAAUAUAGUACAAGAAACAAAACAUGAGAAAUCAAGAACUCCUAAUCCUUCUGGUCAGCAGUACAAUCUUUGAAGGGUCCCAUAACUUUUCUGCAUACCCACCACCCCACUAAUAGUAGUGGGAAGGCAGAUGAUAGAUAAGCCCUGCCACUCCUAGAGUUUUGUGCAAGAGUAAUUAUGUACAGUAAAAGUUACU